rnacentral:rRNA from 1 species
GUGGGGAAUUUUGGACAAUGGGCGAAAGCCUGAUCCAGCCAUGCCGCGUGUGUGAAGAAGGUCUUCGGAUUGUAAAGCACUUUAAGUUGGGAGGAAGGGCAGUAAGUUAAUACCUUGCUGUUUUGACGUUACCGACAGAAUAAGCACCGGCUAACUUCGUGCCAGCAGCCGCGGUAAUACGAAGGGUGCAAGCGUUAAUCGGAAUUACUGGGCGUAAAGCGCGCGUAGGUGGUUCGUUAAGUUGGAUGUGAAAGCCCCGGGCUCAACCUGGGAACUGCAGCCAAAACUGGCGAGCUAGAGUACGGUAGAGGGUGGUGGAAUUUCCUGUGUAGCGGUGAAAUGCGUAGAUAUAGGAAGGAACACCAGUGGCGAAGGCGACCACCUGGACUGAUACUGACACUGAGGUGCGAAAGCGUGGGGAGCAAACAGGAUUAGAUACCCGUGUAGUCC